UGAAAACAGAAGUAAACUUUGUUAAAUCGGAGUCUUCACAGGCAGGCAGGGAUGAGAGAGAACGCUGGCUCAAGGAAAUAAAGUCCAGCAGCAGGGGGACAGGAUCUAGCUGGAACUGGAACAGCAGGUGCACGCAGCACUGGAGAGUCUGAAGUACAGUUUGGCGUCGUCUGACACUUCAGUAUUUGUAGGACGAUGACAAAAGCAGAGACGACGCCGCUGUAACGUUUUAACGAAGACUGGUGAAGACAGUGAGCUCCGAGGCCGGUUGGGUGACUCGCGGCUGAUGGAACAACUGUUUCAAGAAACCAGAAGAAGGAGAACCGUUAACAACGAGAUGUGUAGCGAGAAUCAUCGUCAAUCAAGAAUCAGUAUUUUUCAUGAUAAAAUAAUAAACACAAGCAUCAAAAUCAAGGUUGAAUUUGCAUUUUUAUUAA